rnacentral:RNase_P_RNA from 1 species
GGCGCAGGUUGGAUAGUCGCCUCCGCCCAAGGCGGGGGAGGAAAGUCCGGGCUCCACAGGGCAGUGUAGCGGGUAACACCCGUCCCCACCACAAAACGUUGGUGGGAGGAUUUAGAGCCACAGAGACGAGUCAGGACAGAACCGCAGAUUAUACGAUAAAAAUGUCUUGAUUGACAUAAUAUUUGUAUUAUCUACGGUUCUGUCCUGGGUGAAACGAGGUAAUCUCUACGCGGAGCAAAACCAGAUAGGUCUCGCUAAGAAGAGUGGCCCGUUCGAAAUAGCGAGAUGGGUAGGUUGCUUGAUCCUGACAGUAAUGUCAGGUAUUAGAUAGAUGACUAUCGCCCAUUUAUAUGGGUACAGAACCCGGCUUAUAGGCCUGCGUCAUAU